rnacentral:lncRNA from 1 species
UUUAACUUUAACCGAACAAACAAGGAUACUUAAACGAACGGAGUUUCUUGUUCAUGCUUGUUUGUUAAGAAAAUGAACAUGUCCGUGCGCAUUUAUGUUUGUUCACUAAUAUUCUAAACAAACAUAAAUGAAGAAAAUGAAUGUGUUUUUAUUGUUCAUCAGUCGAAAAAACCUGUUUCCUUUCUAGCUAGAGUUUUUUGUAUGUUCGAGAUAAAAUCUCACCUUAAAAGUUCAG